GUCUGGCACACAGUGAAAGUUCACAACAUGUUCCUGCUUCAAAGAGCUUCGCAUUUGAAAAAGCUUGCCAACCCCUGGAAUAAUCAAACACUGAAAGGAAAGAAAGAGUGCAAG